UACGUAGGGGGCAAGCGUUGUCCGGAAUCAUUGGGCGUAAAGAGCGUGUAGGCGGCCCGGUAAGUCCGCUGUGAAAGUCCAGGGCUCAACCCUGGGAUGCCGGUGGAUACUGUCGGGCUCGAGUCCGGAAGAGGAGUGUGGAAUUCCUGGUGUAGCGGUGAAAUGCGCAGAUAUCGGGAGGAACACCUGUGGCGAAGGCGGCCCCCUGGUUGGAUACUGACGCUGAUACGCGAAAGCGUGGGGAGCAAACAGG
rnacentral:rRNA from 1 species